rnacentral:lncRNA from 1 species
GACAAGUAUCAUCAAACACUUUCCAUUCAUUCUCAUUCCUAUCCCACCACACCACUAGGUCAAGUCCCAAUACUUUCUUAGCAUGGGGUACCCUCUUAUCCAAAUCACAUAUUGGCAUCACCGGGAACCAAUGUGAGUACCAAUCGAAUCUCUUUUUCUCGCGACCAUCAGCCUCAAGUUCCAGCAUAGGUGGCUCAAUGGACUCCAUUGUUGAUGCCGGGGAUGAUGAUAACAUCAUAAACAACCUCGAUUUCGAUCCAUUUCUUUCAAACAAUGUGAAAGAUGAAUCGAACACAAUUAAUUUUAACUUUAAAUGGUGAAAGAUGGGUUUAGGAAAUUGGGUUUUGUUUCUUCUUGUUGUUGUUGAAAUGUAUGGUGGAUGAAUAAGGGUAGAAGAAGAAGCUCUAAGAACAUCCAUGGCUGACUAUCUUCCUUUUUUUUCCUUCGGCUUUCAACACUCACUGGUUCUUCAAAGCUAAUAUCCAUGUAUCAUUCAUUAUAUAUACUAGUUCCAUGCAUGCAUACAUCAACUUAUGGUAAUUAACAAUAUACAUAAGGUAAACACAUACAUAUUAACCAAAUAUGUGUAUACAUAUAUAAAUAUUAACCUAAUAUAUAUUACGGUAAUUAUGGUAACAAUAUCUAUAUAAUGCUAUAUAUUAGGAUAAUUACGGUACUUAGUAAUUAUGGUAACAAUAUCUAACACCCAAUUUUUUUUCCAUUUUACAAAGUUUUAUUUAAAAAAAUAAACACAUUAUAGUUUUUUAACACGUGUUACAUUUCAUUUAAACAACUUAUUUUUGUUGAUUGAGUCUUAGAUCGUUUGACAUGAAUAUUGUUAACAAUGCAAGAAGACAUGGGUUUAAAUGCGUUAAAAUAUAUUAUCAUCUUAUUGUGAAACGUAUUUUGUUAACCACCCCAUUUUACGAAUCGAGGUUGAAUGAGUAAAUUGUUUUCUUGUUAUUUUAUUUUGUUCAACUGAAUUAAUUUUGUAUACUCUUUAUAUUUAUCGCUUUAUUUAUGGUUAACUGGUAUUAAUAAAUUAUGUAGUUUGUGAGUUAAGUCAAUUGGUUGAAGCCAUUCGCAUGCUUUCCCGUGAGUUCAAUAUCUAAAAUAUUUCAUAACGAAUUUAUCUCAUUAUAAUUAUUACAUCACAAUGAUAUUAAUCACAUAAAUUUGUCAUUGUGAUCACUCUUUUCAGCUUCUUGAUGAACAAUUUUUUUUUUUUUUACAUUACCCUUUACAUAAUCUUGUUCUAGCAAAAACUUUGUAAGCCUUUCAUACUAAGCCCAUAAGGUUUGCUUCAAGCCAUAUAAGGCCUUAGUGAGCUUAUAAAUACUUAUAACUUGAAAUACGUUCAAAACAUCAAACAUAAAUAUCUUCUUACCUUUUCAUCAACGGAAAAGAGAAUGGAUGGGCAAGGAUUGAUGUUAUAAAUGGCAUUCACUUUCACACUCAUUCGAAGUGUCAUCCACCAAGCAAUCGAUCAAACCCCUAACAAUUGUUCCAUGUUGAGGUUUUGUCCCCAGCUUCACUCAGAGCAAUGUACAGUUCAUGAAGGGAGGAGCUUUGGUUGGUGGAGAUACAACCUAUAAUAGCUCAUGAGACAGGUGUUUGUAUUGCGCGUAACAUUAAUUAUAGAGAAUGCGUGCGGGAGAAUUCAAACCACCAACAACUUAAAGAGAACAUUCGAUUGGUGCAAGCGAUUCGAUUUGAGAAGGCUAUACAAUAAUGAUUUUAACAGCUCAAUGAUUUUGUAACUCUUUUUUAAUAAAAUUUUGGUAUAGGAAAAAAAAAAAGAAGUGUUGAACUAGAUUUAACCCUGCAUACAAAGUAAAGGGUGUCAUAUUCUCAUCAAAUAACACAAAAUCUUUCAAUGAAAGGCAUGGUUAUAACCAUGGUAAUGGAAGUUCUUGUAGAUGAAAUGAGCCAACCAUUUGGAAGCUGCAAAGCAAAUGAUAGCCAUUGAUACCAUUGUUGUUUUAGCCACCAUUGACAUAAUCUUCUGCUUUGUUACAGCAAUGAUGCCAAUCAAGACAACCGACAUGAUUUGCAGCAUUACUUCGAGUGCCUUGAGACCUUCAUAUGCACUAUUACAACUCUUACAAUUCACUACAUGACUCCAAUACCUACACACCAAAAAAAUGCUUCUUGUUAAACUAUGUUACUCAUGGUGGCUUGCACAUGGAAGUCAAGAUUGUAGGGAUUAAUGUACAUAUUCAAUACAUGUAUGCUCAUUCUUUUUACAUCUAGUUCAUAUGUUAGGAAUAUUGCACCUAUACUUAUGUCUGACUGUGUAUGGGGCACAGGUUCUCCAAAAGAAAUGAAGAGCGAUGGGUAUAAGUAUCCAAAUUUUCAUGUUCGGAAUGUUUGGAUAUAUACUCGUAUACUUGAAGAAAAAUGAAGAGUCGAAAGUUAUUAAAUUUACCUGUCCAUCAGUUGUUCUCUAGGAGGGGAUGGAGGAAGAGCUCCACUAUACUUCCCUUUCCAGUCAAUCUCACCGCCGGCAUACUUGUUGAACCACCUCCGGAAGCCAACCACCGUAGCAUCUGACUUUGUAGGCAAAAAACAAGCUUUUUGCCAAUUGGUAGCCCCAAUUUCCAUUAUCUUACGCUCCUACAAGGAGAAAUAGGUUGUCAACUUGCAUAAACAUGAUUAAAAACAGUUUCCAGUUCGUUAACAUAUGCCAUAGAUCUCUGUACUCUUCACAGAUUCGAGUACUUAGUAAUAAAAAAAUAAAAAAUUCAAAGCAUCAAAGAGCCAGAGAUAUAGGAAUCACCUCAACAUGAAGAAGAUACAAAUCAGAAUCAAGAACCAAGUUUACUCCAAUGUGAAACAUCCAUCUUGGAACAAUUUGGUCAAUCCAAACGCCAAAUUUUCUUGGGAAAAUCCAAAUCAAUCUACUAUUACCUGGACUAACUGGAACACACAUAAAAAUCAACAUAAGUCUGUGAUUUUCUUCAUCAACCUCAGCAUCAGCAAAAGUAUGGAUGAUACAAGGAGCAAUAAAGUUAGAAUUGCCCCAUUCUUGUUCAACAAAACCAUUUAUAUCCAACUUCUUGACUUUCAUAUCAAGUGGUCUACCCCCUUCUCUAUCAACCUUCACUGUGAACAAAAAAUUACAAUUUUAGAUAUGGUAAAAAAAACCCUCUCGAUUUUGAUAUUGAGCAAUUCAAUCCCUCUCAAAAAAAUCGGAGCAAUUUAAUCUCUGUCAAUUUCGAAAGUCAGCAAAUAAGGAUAAUUAAUCACAAGAUUAAUGUUUUUCGUCAAUUUUACAUAAAUUUGACUAGUAUAAUAAAAAAUUUAGCUCUUAUAAUUUACACGUUCUAUCAAUUCGAUCAUUGAUUUAACAAAUUUAGCCCAUAUAUAUAUAUAUAUAUAUAUAUAUAUAUAUUUGUAAAUGUGUAAGUAUUGAGGCUAAAUUAGUUGAAUUUUUUAAAAUCAAGACAAAAUUAAGAAAAUAUGUAAACGAUGAGGGCUAAAUUUAUUAUUAUACCAAUCAAAAUUAUACAUAAUUGGCGAAAUACAUUAACCCAUGAUUGCUCUAUUAUUUUUCAAAGGGACUAACUUGUUCAAUUUCGAAUUUGAGAGAGACUAGAGAAAUCUUUUUACCUAUACGUGAAUUUCAUAUCUCAAAAUACAUUAAGAACUUCUUACCCUUAGGGGUCGGAGUGCGGAUGAUUCCGUAAUGUGCAUAUGGAAGAUGAGCAAAAUCCAUAAGAUUUUCAGUCAAGAACUCAUACCUGAAACCACAAAAUUAGAUUCUCGAACAAAUUUCAGUUUCCAUAAAUUAUAUUACUCUUAACUCUUUAUUUUUCUUGAAGUACCCGAAAGGAAGAUCUCUGUUUCCCAUCCACUUUGAAAAUGAAGGAUCAUCUAAUACAGGAAUGUAAGGAGGCUUUUUCUUUGUUAUAAUAUCUUUGUAUUGAGGAUCAGCAUUUGGCCAAACCCAUACAAUAUCAUGUUGCACAACACUUGGAUAAACAGCCACACAUGCUUUCUUGAAUGUAUGGACCUGCAAUUUUGAAAACCAACGUUACCCCCUUUUGCCAACAAUGCCACACACUAUACAUCACAUGACAUUGCUCAAAAUGAACCAUGGUUACACUAUCAACAUUGUAAGAAGAGGAUCAGAUAUAUCUAUAUACAUAGAGAUGUUCAUGGGCCGCGUCGAGUUGGGUUCGGACUUGACCUACGUAUGAUAUUAAUACAUUUUAUAUUUGUCAAGGUCCAGUCCAACCUGAAAUAUGAACUUAAAAUACUCAUAUUUGUAAAUAGUUAACCCAAGUUCAUUUUAAAUUCAAUCAUAUUGUUUUUAAAAAAAAAUUAAAAAAUACCUUUAUAUUAUUUUUAAUUUAUAUCUAAUAAUUUUAUAUGUAACCAUCUUAACAUUUUUAAUCUCUACAUUAUAGUAAUAUUACAUUUUUAUGUGUUAUAAAUUAUAUAAUAUAAAACAUUACAAAUUUCCUUGAAUAUUCAAGCCUAAGUUCACCCUAUUUUUUAUCCUAAUACUUUUGCUCGGGCCCCAAAUUUCGAACGAACCUUUAGAUUGAGUGGAUAACUUGACCCAUAAACAGAUCUAAAUAUACGCAUAUAUAUGCUUUAUAGAAAGUAACUCAGGUGAUCCAAUAUCAUAUGUCCAACAUAAAUAUGCUUAUAAAUAUGACACACAAGUUCAAGACUAUGGCUCCUGGAUACUCAGCAUGCUUGUGCCAGAUACAUACAUGUAUCCAACAUCACACCCGAGUUUCAAGUAAUAUAAUCAUCCAUACCUUUGUAACAGUCCUAACAUUAGAACAGCAAAAAGAACAUAAUUAAACAUGAUGAUAUGAACUAAAAAAAAGGGUUACCGGGGGUCCAUCUAAGGGAGCUUGAGGAAUGAUUUUGCAAUCACCAUUGCCAUUAAAGCACCAACCAUGGUACACACACUGUAAUCUCCCCCAUUGAUCAAUUCUUCCCUCAGAUAAAGGAGCUAAUCUAUGAGGACAAGUAUCAUCAAACACUUUCCAUUCAUUCUCAUUCUUAUCCCACCACACAACUAGAUCAAGUCCCAAUACCUUCUUACCAUGUGGCACCCUCUUAUCCAAAUCACAUACUGGCAUCACCGGGUACCACUGUGAGUACCAAUCCAAUCUCUCUUUCUCGCGACCGUCAGCCUCAAGUUCCGGCAUAGGUGGCUCGAUGGAC